rnacentral:lncRNA from 1 species
CUGUCUUUGAGGCCACCUACCCUAUACCACUCGUCCCGGAAAGGCUUCUUCUUUAGGCAUUGAAGACUGUUCCUUUCUGGGUGAAGGAGAAUCACGUAGCAAUUGGGAGCAAGAUGCAUCCAUGUAACCCAGUACUGGAGGUCAAGAUGGAGACAAUCUCCACAGCCACCAUGGCCUUUCCCUGAGUGCUACUAUAACUCAGGAGGAAAGCCACCCAGAUACUGCAGAACACCAACAUGCUGAAGGCAAACCAAAGAGAAGAAAGACUUUGUGCUUGAGAGUUGAAAAUGAGACCACCUUGCCAUGUCAAUUCAGGUCUCUUAAAGUCUUCCCUUGCAGGAGAAGAGGGAAGUGAAAAGAUCUUCUUGUGAACAGGGUCUGGUGUGGACCUCCAGCAAACUCCAACAGAUUAAUUCAUUGACAGAAUGGGAUUGUCUUGUGAAAGGGAAAUAUCUUGGAUCCCUU